UACAGAGGGGGCAAGCGUUAUUCGGAAUUAUUGGGCGUAAAGGGCGCGUAGGCGGCUUUUCAAGUGACGGGUGAAAUCCCUCGGCUUAACCGAGGAACUGCCUGUCAGACUGGAAGGCUUGAGUCCGGAAGAGGCGAGUGGAAUUCCUGGUGUAGCGGUGGAAUGCGCAGAUAUCAGGAGGAACACCAAUAGCGAAGGCAGCUCGCUGGGACGGUACUGACGCUAAGGCGCGAAAGCGUGGGGAGCGAACAGG
rnacentral:rRNA from 1 species